CGCUGGCGGCGUGCUUAACACAUGCAAGUCGAACGGAAAGGCCCUGCUUUGUGGGGUGCUCGAGUGGCGAACGGGUGAGUAACACGUGAGUAACCUGCCCUUGACUUUGGGAUAACUUCAGGAAACUGGGGCUAAUACCGGAUAGGAGCUCCUGCUGCAUGGUGGGGGUUGGAAAGUUUCGGCGGUUGGGGAUGGACUCGCGGCUUAUCAGCUUGUUGGUGGGGUAGUGGCUUACCAAGGCUUUGACGGGUAGCCGGCCUGAGAGGGUGACCGGCCACAUUGGGACUGAGAUACGGCCCAGACUCCUACGGGAGGCAGCAGUGGGGAAUAUUGCACAAUGGGCGGAAGCCUGAUGCAGCAACGCCGCGUGCGGGAUGACGGCCUUCGGGUUGUAAACCGCUUUCGCCUGUGACGAAGCGUGAGUGACGGUAAUGGGUAAAGAAGCACCGGCUAACUACGUG
rnacentral:rRNA from 1 species